UAGAACAUUUUAGAUGACAUUUCUUUUUUUAUUAAUGGUAUCGUAAUAUGACUUUUAAACUGUGUCAACUGUUCAGUCAUUGACCUAACGAUGUCAGAGUAGAGUUACUGAGGACAGAGUCAACACGAACUCACAUUCUUCGGAUUUAUAAGAUGGCAUUGUCGAUAUAACAAGAUUAAAUAUGUUAGCUGCAAUGAAAAUAAGUAGGGCAGUGCCUUAUCACAGAUUUCUUUCAAGAAUUGAACAUUCUACACUAGCUAAAUAUCCUGUUUUAAUGAAGAUUUACGAGUCCGGGAUAUUGAAGACAUCAAAGCACGUGCUACCGCUUCGAAGAUUUGCAACGAAAGUUCCCAAGAAAUUUAUACCAAAGUAUUCAGUAGAUAAAGUGGACAGAAGUUACGUACUAAUAAUGGAAAGUGUCUUAAAGAGAAACCCACACUUCGGUCAAUAUUUUCUUAUUCUUGGAACAUUACCAAUAAUUAUAGCUGAUGUGUAUUUUAUUGUGACUAACUUUGAGAGUUUCGAUACAUUGCUGCAAAAUGAAAUAUUACAACAUAUAUUGGGGUCUAUAUUCUGUGUGUGUAUGUUAGUACUAGUAAAUAUGAUAGUCAGACGUACUAUAUUAAGGAUUUACUAUAAACCUGACAGUGAUCAAUUCAUAGCGAUUCUACCAACAACUAAAAAAAUAGAAUUUACUUCCAAAGACUGCACAAAAGGUUUGAUGAGGAUGAAGAUAGGAAAUGUUGAAAUCAAAAAUAAACCUUAUUUUGUUUCUCCUCGUGAUUUCAAGCUGCCAUAUUAUUUUAAUAUUAUCAAGGCCUAUGAACAACCAUCAAAAUCAGCGAAAAAAAAGCGUGGGUAAUGGCGGACCAUAGCCACUUGUCAGGGGUAGUGCCAAGGAAUGUGUUGCCAGCCAGUCGUUUGGAUGGGAUGGAAAACAGGGAUCUACCAGUGUUCACCAUGGAUAGCACAUGGCUAAUGGUGGAAACCCUGUUCCCACUUGUCAAGCCUAGCACCGACAGUGCUGACAAGGAAUGUGUUGCCAAGUUGUUCGGAUGGGAUAAAAAACGAAGGUCUACCAAUGUUCACCCUGGAUAGCACAUUAAAUAACCACUGACAGUUAGAAUUCAAUGAAGAAUAGGUGGAAAUGCCACAGUCUAGGUAAAUUCUCCUUCCAUUACAAAAAAAAACAAACUAUGUUAGUCUCAAAAUGACCAAAGUAUUUGUGGAAAAUGUCGAGACGAGACUCCAUUCCUAACCUAUCCUUAUGGUGGACACAGGAAAUUCAGUAGUAACACAAUAUGUAACUUUCCUGGAGUCUGAUUUAUCAAAAAGUGGUAUUGAUGGAUGAAUGAACAUAAAAUUAAGCAUGUUAUAAAAUAAGGGAUAAACAAAGUAUAAAUUUAUAAUGGAUGAUAAUAAAUAGAGCAAUAUAUCAGGGAAAGGAAAGGAUAAGAAUCAAAUUGAAGGUCUGUUCAACACUGUAGUUAUGUGAUCAAUUUCCGUAGUUUAAUGACAAGUUUGAGAGUGCAGUGGUUUUUGCUUUGCUUUGGGCCAUUCAAUGAAGUGACAAACAAUACAAUUUACCUUAAAAAAUAAUACUAACACAACAUUUAUUUAUCAAAUAAGUACAUGUAUAUACUUAUAAAACAAUUAUGUCAUAAAUAGAUUACUAAAAUUGUUAGUAAAAGUAAGCAUUAUUUAUUAAAAUCACUUGUAAAAUCA